rnacentral:rRNA from 1 species
AGAUUGAACGCUAGCGGGAUGCUUUACACAUGCAAGUCGAACGGCAGCGCGGACUUCGGUCUGGCGGCGAGUGGCGAACGGGUGAGUAAUAUAUCGGAACGUGCCCAGUAGCGGGGGGAUAACUACGCGAAAGCGUGGCUAAUACCGCAUACGCCCUACGGGGGAAAGGGGGGAUCGCAAGACCUCUCACGUAUUGGAGCGGCCGAUAUCAGAUUAGCUAGUUGGUGAGGUAAAGGCUCACCAAGGCGACGAUCUGUAGCUGGUUUGAGAGGACGACCAGCCACACUGGGACUGAGACACGGCCCAGACUCCUACGGGAGCAGCAGUGGGAAUUUGGACAAUGGGGAACCUGAUCCAGCCAUCCCGCGUGUGCGAUGAAGGCCUUGGGUUGUAAACGCUACGUUU